AGUCCAGACUCCUACGGGAGGCAGCAGUGGGGAAUAUUGCACAAUGGGGGAAACCCUGAUGCAGCGACGCCGCGUGAAGGAAGAAGUGUUUCGGUAUGUAAACUUCUAUCAGCAGGGAAGAAAGUGACGGUACCUGACUAAGAAGCCCCGACUAACUACGUGCCAGCAGCCGCGGUAAUACGUAGGGGGCAAGCGUUAUCCGGAUUUACUGGGUGUAAAGGGAGCGUAGGCGGCGAUGCAAGUCAGAAGUGAAAGCCCGGGGCUCAACUCCGGGACUGCUUUUGAAACUGUAUGGCUAGAUUGCAGGAGAGGCAAGUGGAAUUCCUAGUGUAGCGGUGAAAUGCGUAGAUAUUAGGAGGAACACCAGUGGCGAAGGCGGCCUGCUGGACAGUAACUGACGUUGAGGCUCGAAAGCGUGGGGAGCAAACAGGAUUAGAUCCCCCCGUA
rnacentral:rRNA from 1 species